AUGUCGCCGCAGGGAGCCGGCGACCCUGUCGUUGGCGUGCCCAACCGCGGGGCUGCACAGAGCUGCUACUGGGCCAUGUCGCCGGGGGCUGCGCUGUGCUGCAGCCCUGCCGCCCCUUCGGGGCCCGCAUCCGUCACCUACGUCGUCCUCACCGUCGGCUUCUCCGUUGACCACGACAGCAAUGUUGAGCAUGAGUUGAUGCGACUUGGUGGAUAA
rnacentral:rRNA from 1 species